UUAGUAACAGAGAUCAGAGAGGGAGAACAAGUCCCUCAGAC
ncrna:unclassified sequences Ocean-VII RNA